rnacentral:rRNA from 1 species
GAUGAACGCUGGCGGCGUGCCUAAUACAUGCAAGUCGAGCGAACAGACGAGGAGCUUGCUCCUCUGACGUUAGCGGCGGACGGGUGAGUAACACGUGGAUAACCUACCUAUAAGACUGGGAUAACUUCGGGAAACCGGAGCUAAUACCGGAUAAUAUAUUGAACCGCAUGGUUCAAUAGUGAAAGACGGUUUUGCUGUCACUUCUAGAUGGAUCCCCGCCGCAUUAUCUAGUUGGUAAGGUAACGGCUUACCAAGGCAACGAUGCGUAGCCGACCUGAGAGGGUGAUCGGCCACACUGGAACUGAGACACGGUCCAGAGUACUACGGGAGGCAGCAGUAGGGAAUCUGCCGCAAUGGGCGAAAGCCUGACGGAGCAACGCCGCGUGAGUGAUGAAGGUCUUCGGAUCGUAAAACUCUGUUAUUAGGGAAGAACAAAUGUGUAAGUAAAUAUGCACGUCUUGACGGUACCUAAUAAGAAAGCCACGGCUAACUACGUG